ACCUGGGUGGCUCAGUCGGUUGAGCGUCCGACUUCAGCUCAGGUCAUGGUCUCGGGUUUUGUGGGUUCAAGCCCCAUGUCGGGCU
rnacentral:tRNA from 1 species